CACUGUUGUUUUGUUGUGGUUGAUAAACCUGAGACUUCUUUCUAUUCUUCAAGGCGGUUUUGUUUAGGCCAGCCAUGGAGCAAAAAGAACGGACAUUGCUACUUUAGCAAGAGGGAAGACCCGACGAGGCCAUGAUGCUUACCUUGCUCGAGCGCAUCAACCCCGACCAUGGCACCACAUUUACAGUCUUGAGAUGCCUUUGUUCAGC